AUGUUAAUGGAAUAUUUCCAUAAAAUUGACCGUUUUGUUUACCAAGGAAACAAAAAGAAGAAAAAACCUCGACCAUUUCUGAAAAUUCAGAAGACAUGGCCAGAAAGAAAUUAAAAGGAUCCGUGUACUUGGUACAACCAUCAAACCAACCAUGUAGGCCAGUCGUUGGCCUACUGUACCAACUAUUGUUCUGUUUGAAAAGACAUCUCCUCUUUUUCUUCUUCUAG
rnacentral:lncRNA from 1 species